CCUACAUAACAACACAUAUAUACACACACACAAAAGCCUACAUAACAACACAUAUAUACACACACAUACACACACACAAACCAGUGUCCUGAAGUUCAGGCUCAAGUGGUGAUAGUGUUUAAUGUCUCCAAGCCACGAGAACUGCCCUGAAAACUAUCUGGGUCACCUUCAACCACUCCAACCGAAUGCAUUAGCAUUAGGCUAAUUCCCCCACUGAGAGCCAAUGAAGAGGCUAACCGAUAAUCAGACGCGACAGAUAGCCUAGCGGUUAAGAGCCUUGGGUGAGUAACCGAAAGGUCGCUGGUUCGAAUCCCCGUGGCGACUAGGUGAAAAAAAUCUGACAAUGUGCCCUUGAGCAAGGCACAACUCUAAUUGCUCCUGUAAGUCGCUCUGGAUAAGAGAUAAUAAUGCUAAAUGACUAAAAUGUAAAUAUAAUCGGAUAACCUGGUCCUUUGAUACUCAACUGCUGCUAGCUGUGUCUCUGUGUAGAGGUGUGUUAGUGGAGCAGCCUGUCUCUGUGUAGAGGUGUGUUAGUGGAGCAGCCUGUCUCUGUGUAGAGGUGUGUUAGUGGAGCAGCCUGUCUCUGUGUAGAGGUGUGUUAGUGGAGCAGCCUGUCUCUGUGUAGAGGUAUGUUAGUGGAGCAGCCUGUCUCUGUGUAGAGGUGUGUUAGUGGAGCAGCCUGUCUCUGUGUAGAGGUGUGUUAGUGGAGCAGCCUGUCUCUGUGUAGAGGUGUGUUAGUGGAGCAGCCUGUCUCUGUGUAGAUGUGUGUUAGUGGAGCAGCCUGUCUCUGUGUAGAGGUAUGUUAGUGGAGCAGCCUGUCUCUGUGUAGAGGUGUGUUAGUGGAGCAGCCUGUCUCUGUGUAGAGGUGUGUUAGUGGAGCAGCCUGUCUCUGUGUAGAGGUAUGUUAAGUGUUAAGUGCUCUGUACUUUAGCCAAGUGUGGAAUAAUUGUUGGUUAUUCUGUCCAUGUUGUUGUGUUGUCACAUUGGGUAGACUGUGGAACCAUGUGGAUUUUUUCUACCCAUUAUAUUUCCAUGGUCCCCCCCACCCGCCUCUGUUUUCACAGUAACUGCAUACUACAUUUAUAAACACUACAUUGUAGAAUAUGAAGCAUGUUAGCUUUCAUGUUAAUCAAGUAACAGAAUUGAGUAGGAUAUCACUGUGGCAAAGACAUUCAGAAUUUACCAUUCACACUACUUCUAACCAUCAUAAUAAGUUUAUGCUGCCAUCCUAGUAAAUUUCAGUAACCCUUCUGCCAGUUUGUGAAAGAAGUCUAUUGUGUAAUGUAAAUAUUGGUAUAUAUUGCCGUUUUUUCUGUAAAUAGUGCACCCACUGUCCUCAAUUGUUGAUAUGAAUCUAAUGGCAUAUUUUUAUAUACUUGUGUGUGUUUUUUCUCCUCUGGCAUGCGCUGUCAGUCACGUUUAAAUUAUAACUGCCACAAAAUGACAACAAGAGAAAGGAAACGGCGUCUAUGGUUAUACUUCAGUUGUCAUGGUUACGUUUUCUUCCUGUAGCUGUUUCUGUUUCGUCACUUCGGGUUCUUCUUUGGAAUUAAAUAAUUUCACUGGUGCCAGACUACCAGGUGUCUGUAGCAGUUCUUACCGCCGCUGGGAGUUGGGAUGUAUCCUGUCUGUCUGUGUCUGUCUGUCUCUGUCUGUCUGUCUGUCUGUCUGUCUGCACACCCUGUAGUUUUCCAGAGCCAGGAGUGAAGAAUACUGAUUCAUGGACUUGGCCAGGAACAACUCUGGACCCUAUCUAUGGGAUCUAACUUCUAACUCAAGAUCUCAGGCAAGACUGCAUCAGUACAGCAGUUAUUGUAGGAGAGGUGAGGACUUGCACUCUCAUAAUGAGGUAGCCCUGCCUGCGGCCUAAAACUCUGUGUCACCCUCUGAGCAAGAGGGAAUUCCCAAAGGUUCAGAUCCCACCCGUGACCCUAACAGCACCACAGUGACUAAGUUCUCUGUACCAACACAAUGUAUAGUACUGGAAGAUCCCUGGAUGAACCAUUAUCUCACACACACGCGCACACACACACACAGCAAAGUGAAAUGCUCUGAUAAAUGACCUGCAUUUGUGUGUUAGUACGAGGGGGCUGGGAAUGAACGUCUACGCUCACACACUCAAUGAAUGAAGACACACGACUGAUUGAGAUGUGUUGCACAAUAGACCUCCUGUCUGCCAGAAGAAUGGGAUUUUGAUAGUGUGUCAGACUCACAGUCAGACCAGUGGAACAUUUCAGUGUUAGGUUUUCACAAUUAUCUACUGUAAAUAGAAUAAAGUUAGCUUUAUCAGAA